rnacentral:rRNA from 1 species
UACGUAGGUGGCAAGCGUUUGUCCGGAUUUACUGGGCGUAAAGAGCGCGCAGGCGGUCGUGCAAGUCGCGUGUGAAAGCCCCCGGCUCAACUGGGGAGGGUCACGCGAUACUGCUCGACUCGAAGGCAGGAGAGGGAAGUGGAAUUCCCGGUGUAGUGGUGAAAUGCGUAGAUAUCGGGAGGAACACCAGUGGCGAAGGCGACUACCUGGCCUGUUUCUUGACGCUGAGGCGCGAAAGCUAGGGGAGCAAACGGGG